AUGAACGCUAGCUACAGGCUUAACACAUGCAAGUCGAGGGGCAGCAUUUUAGUUUGCUUGCAAACUGAAGAUGGCGACCGGCGCACGGGUGAGUAACACGUAUCCAACCUGCCGAUAACUCCGGAAUAGCCUUUCGAAAGAAAGAUUAAUACCGGAUGGCAUACGAAUAUCGCAUGAUAUUUUUAUUAAAGAAUUUCGGUUAUCGAUGGGGAUGCGUUCCAUUAGUUUGUUGGCGGGGUAACGGCCCACCAAGACUACGAUGGAUAGGGGUUCUGAGAGGAAGGUCCCCCACAUUGGAACUGAGACACGGUCCAAACUCCUACGGGAGGCAGCAGUGAGGAAUAUUGGUCAAUGGGCGAGAGCCUGAACCAGCCAAGUAGCGUGAAGGAUGAAGGCUCUAUGGGUCGUAAACUUCUUUUAUAUGGGAAUAAAGUUUUCCACGUGUGGAAUUUUGUAUGUACCAUAUGAAUAAGGAUCGGCUAACUCCGUGCCAGCAGCCGCGGUAAUACGGAGGAUCCGAGCGUUAUCCGGAUUUAUUGGGUUUAAAGGGAGCGUAGGUGGAUUGUUAAGUCAGUUGUGAAAGUUUGCGGCUCAACCGUAAAAUUGCAGUUGAAACUGGCAGUCUUGAGUACAGUAGAGGUGGGCGGAAUUCGUGGUGUAGCGGUGAAAUGCUUAGAUAUCACGAAGAACUCCGAUUGCGAAGGCAGCUCACUAGACUGUUACUGACACUGAUGCUCGAAAGUGUGGGUAUCAAACAGGAUUAGAUACCCUGGUAGUCCACACAGUAAACGAUGAAUACUCGCUGUUUGCGAUAUACAGUAAGCGGCCAAGCGAAAGCAUUAAGUAUUCCACCUGGGGAGUACGCCGGCAACGGUGAAACUCAAAGGAAUUGACGGGGGCCCGCACAAGCGGUGGAGUAUGUGGUUUAAUUCGACGCAACGCGAAGAACCUUACCAGGUCUUGACAUUGAUCGCGAUCUGCAGAAAUGCGGAGUUCUUCUUCGGAAGACGAGAAAACAGGUGGUGCACGGCUGUCGUCAGCUCGUGUCGUGAGAUGUUGGGUUAAGUCCCGCAACGAGCGCAACCCUUAUCUUUAGUUACUAACAGGUUAUGCUGAGGACUCUAGAGAGACUGCCGUCGUAAGAUGUGAGGAAGGUGGGGAUGACGUCAAAUCAGCACGGCCCUUACGUCCGGGGCUACACACGUGUUACAAUGGGGGGUACAGAGGGCCGCUACCACGCGAGUGGAUGCCAAUCCCAAAAACCUCUCUCAGUUCGGACUGGAGUCUGCAACCCGACUCCACGAAGCUGGAUUCGCUAGUAAUCGCGCAUCAGCCAUGGCGCGGUGAAUACGUUCCCGGGCCUUGUACACACCGCCCGUCAAGCCAUGAAAGCCGGGGGUACCUGAAGUACGUAACCGCAAGGAGCGUCCUAGGGUAAAACUGGUAAUUGGGGCU
rnacentral:rRNA from 1 species